rnacentral:rRNA from 1 species
AUUGAACGCUGGCGGCAGGCCUAACACAUGCAAGUCGAGCGAGCGGCGGACGGGUGAGUAAUGUCUGGGAAACUGCCUGAUGGAGGGGGAUAACUACUGGAAACGGUAGCUAAUACCGCAUACACUCGGAUGUGCCCAGAUGGGACUAGCUAGUAGGUGGGGUAACGGCUCAACUAGGCGACGAUCCCGAGCUGGGCUGAGAGUAUGACCAGCCACACGGGAACUGAGACACGGUCCAGACUGCUACGGGAGGCAGCAGUGGGGAAUAUUGCACAAUGGGCGCAAGCCUGAUGCAGCCAUGCCGCGUGUAUGAAGAAGGCCUUCGGAUUGUAAAUUACUUUCAGCGGGGAGGCGUUACCCGCAGAAGAAGCACCGGCUAACUCCGUGCCAGCAGCCGCGGUAAUUC